UGAACGCUGGCGGCGUGCCUAAUACAUGCAAGUCGAGCGAACGGGCGAGAAGCUUGCUUCUCUGAUGUUAGCGGCGGACGGGUGAGUAACACGUGGAUAACCUACCUAUAAGACUGGGAUAACUUCGGGAAACCGGAGCUAAUACCGGAUGAUAUUUUGAACCGCAUGGUUCAAAAGUGAAAGACGGUCUUGCUGUCACUUAUAGAUGGAUCCGCGCUGCAUUAGCUAGUUGGUAAGGUAACGGCUUACCAAGGCAACGAUGCAUAGCCGACCUGAGAGGGUGAUCGGCCACACUGGAACUGAGACACGGUCCAGACUCCUACGGGAGGCAGCAGUAGGGAAUCUUCCGCAAUGGGCGAAAGCCUGACGGAGCAACGCCGCGUGAGUGGUGAAGGUCUUCGGAUCGUAAAACUCUGUUAUUAGGGAAGAACAUAUGUGUAAGUAACUGUGCACAUCUUGACGGUACCUAAUCAGAAAGCCACGGCUAACUACGUG
rnacentral:rRNA from 1 species